rnacentral:rRNA from 1 species
GAUUCGUCACACUAUCAUUAACUGAAUCCAUAGGUUAAUGAGGCGAACCGGGGGAACUGAAACAUCUAAGUACCCCGAGGAAAAGAAAUCAACCGAGAUUCCCCCAGUAGCGGCGAGCGAACGGGGAGGAGCCCAGAGCCUGAAUCAGCAUGUGUGUUAGUGGAAGCGUCUGGAAAGGCGCGCGAUACAGGGUGACAGCCCCGUACACAAAAGCGCAUGUGCUGUGAGCUCGAUGAGUAGGGCGGGACACGUGGUAUCCUGUCUGAAUAUGGGGGGACCAUCCUCCAAGGCUAAAUACUCCUGACUGACCGAUAGUGAACCAGUACCGUGAGGGAAAGGCGAAAAGAACCCCGGCGAGGGGAGUGAAAAAGAUCCUGAAACCGUGUACGUACAAGCAGUGGGAGCACCCUUCGGGGUGUGACUGCGUACCUUUUGUAUAAUGGGUCAGCGACUUAUAUUCUGUAGCAAGGUUAACCGUAUAGGGGAGCCGGAGGGAAACCGAGUCUUAACCGGGCGUUAAGUUGCAGGGUAUAGACCCGAAACCCGGUGAUCUAGCCAUGGGCAGGUUGAAGGUUGGGUAACACUAACUGGAGGACCGAACCGACUAAUGUUGAAAAAUUAGCGGAUGACCUGUGGCUGGGGGUGAAAGGCCAAUCAAACCGGGAGAUAGCUGGUUCUCCCCGAAAGCUAUUUAGGUAGCGCCUCGUGAAUUCAUCUCCGGGGGUAGAGCACUGUUUCGGCUAGGGGGCCAUCCCGGCUUACCAACCCGAUGCAAACUGCGAAUACCGGAGAAUGUUAUCACGGGAGACACACGGCGGGUGCUAACGUCCGUCGUGAAGAGGGAAACAACCCAGACCGCCAGCUAAGGUCCCAAAGUCAUGGUUAAGUGGGAAACGAUGUGGGAAGGCCCAGACAGCCAGGAUGUUGGCUUAGAAGCAGCCAUCAUUUAAAGAAAGCGUAAUAGCUCACUGGUCGAGUCGGCCUGCGCGGAAGAUGUAACGGGGCUAAACCAUGCACCGAAGCUGCGGCAGCGAACGUAUCACCCAAGACAACUUUACGGAGUUGACGAUUGACGGAGCGAAGCGACGUCAAAGCGUUCAUUAAAGUCGAGUUGGCUUAGGGAUACGUUCGUUGGGUAGGGGAGCGUUCUGUAAGCCUGUGAAGGUGUGUCGUGAGGCAUGCUGGAGGUAUCAGAAGUGCGAAUGCUGACAUAAGUAACGAUAAAGCGGGUGAAAAGCCCGCUCGCCGGAAGACCAAGGGUUCCUGUCCAACGUUAAUCGGGGCAGGGUGAGUCGACCCCUAAGGCGAGGCCGAAAGGCGUAGUCGAUGGGAAACGGGUUAAUAUUCCCGUACUUGGUGUUACUGCGAAGGGGGGACGGAGAAGGCUAUGUUGGCCGGGCGACGGUUGUCCCGGUUUAAGCGUGUAGGUGUGUGUUCCAGGUAAAUCCGGUUCACUUUAACACUGAGGCGUGACGACGAGGCACUACGGUGCUGAAGCAACAAAUGCCCUGCUUCCAGGAAAAGCCUCUAAGCAUCAGGUAACACGAAAUCGUACCCCAAACCGACACAGGUGGUCAGGUAGAGAAUACCAAGGCGCUUGAGAGAACUCGGGUGAAGGAACUAGGCAAAAUGGUGCCGUAACUUCGGGAGAAGGCACGCUGACACGUAGGUGAAGUGAUUUACUCAUGGAGCUGAAGU